UACAGGGGGUGCGAGCGUUGUUCGGAAUUACUGGGCGUAAAGGGCGCGUAGGCGGCCUAGCAAGUCAGACGUGAAAUCCCUGGGCUUAACCCAGGAAGUGCGUUUGAAACUGCUAAGCUUGAGUACAAUAGAGGUUAGUGGAAUUCCCAGUGUAGAAGUGAAAUUCGUAGAUAUUGGGAGGAACACCAGUGGCGAAGGCGGCUAACUGGGUUGUAACUGACGCUGAGGCGCGAAAGCAUGGGGAUCAAACAGG
rnacentral:rRNA from 1 species